UUGUUGUCUGUCUAGCAAUGGUAGCUUAGGUAUUCAUUCAGGCUUGUUUUGUUUUGUAGGGCAGUUCCCUGUUUGCUGGAACUUAUUUUAAGUUUGAACGCGAUAAGAUUAAACUGUGUUUUCAUCUUUCUUGUGAAAAUGGCUGAACUAAAUGAAAUACGGGAAGAGCCAGCUGGACCAUCAGUCGCAACUGCUGAGCAACAACCAACAAGCCGAGUGACAACCUUAGAGGAAUUGCUUCAAAGAGUUGCUUCUCUAUUGGAUGAAGACAAUUUAAGAAGAUUAUGCAAUCACUAUGGUUACUGUACUGAGAACAGAAGCUUUGGUACUGCGCUUGAGUUAUUUCAGUUUUUAGAAGAAGGUAAUCUCUGGGGCUGUGGUAAAGAACAAGAAAAGAUAAAAGUUUUGAUCAACCGAAUGAAAGAGUUGGGCCGCCAUGAUAUUGUUGGAAUAAUUCAAACUUUUAACCAUCAAGAAAACACUGUUGCUGUUCGUAACGUAGAACCUUCGUCGCUAAUCAGAGUGAAGGUUGAAACUACUGGUCAGUGCCAGUUGCAAGUCAAUGCAUCAGGAGAAUACAUUGUUCUCUUGGAAGACCACGUCUUCAACCUUGCUACUGCUAUAUUUCGGCAGUUUGAUGUUCGGCGUUUGUUGGCCAUAGGUGGUUCAGUUAUGGUGAUCUGUUAUGGCUUAUACAAGCUGGGAUACAAUGCUUUAUCAUUUUCCCUGGGUUGCGUUACAUUUGAUAUUACUACUGAGCUGGACAAAGAACAUACAGUUCGUCGCAGAUUGGAGAAUGGGACAUUCUUACAAGAGCUAAGGGAAGAAGUCAGUGAUAUAAUAGAAGAGCAUUAUGACAUACUGGGUGACCUUAAGGACUUUACUAUAAUCUCAUGUAAAGAAAUUUGCCAAAAUAAAGAAAAAGAGGAGCCCGUUAAAGAUGUUUCUGCAAGAAGGAUAGAAGGUUUGGUUAAGGAAAUGGCAGAGUUGAAAGAGUUGAUGAUUUCAUUGAAUGAGAAAGUUGGUGGUACUGUUGAAACAAAUCUAAAUUUUGAGAAAGAAGAGCUCGCGAGGCUUCCAGCUGAGCACAUUAUUGUGACUGGUGGUAGUACUUCUGGAGGCGGCUCUUUACAGCGGCUGAGGUCAGCACCCUAUACAACAGAUAGAGAACUGGCAAAAUUAAUGGCUAAGUCAAUGGAAAAGAUGCACCGAGUUAAAGUGAUUAAAUAGUUUCAACCCGAAGAACACAACACUCCUGUGAUGUUGGCUGAACCAAUGUCUUCAGAAAUCGCUUCAUCGGAUAUGUUCGAUGAUCAAAUGUUUUAUACUGUUGCGGACUUACCAGUUGCUAUACAAAGUAUAUUGGAAGGAAAUGAUUGAAACUUUGUCUCUUCCCAGGAUUUCCUAGAAGACCAUAUAUUGAUGUAGAAAUAACAUACAUUGUAGUUGCAUUAGACAUUUUAAUUUCUGUUUGUCAUUGGCCUAAUAGUUUAUAAAAUUAUACAUGUAAAAGUCACAUAAAAAUAAAGUGUUUGUAAACCACAUAGUAUUGUGACAUGUUAAUCCUGACUUGUUUUGCUGUAAUUCUUGAAUCAUUUUGUCAUAAAUAAUUUUGCAGUUGUUAAAAUUACCUUGAAUAAAUUUUUAGUAGUUAAAAUUUACAUAAAAUUAAUUUUUGCAGCAGUUAAAAUUAACAUAAAUAAUUUUGUUUGUGCCUUUGCAGUGGUUAAAACUUAUUUUUAAAACAAUGGAAAUUGUUUUAGGGUUUUAAAUAUAUAUUUUUUAUGUGUAUUGUUUACCACUGUUCGUAUAACCCUUGAUUGAUAUUUGAUUCAAUGCCUAGCAAUUAAUCACUGUGUAGGUUCUGUUGAUUUACUAAUCGAUUAUUCCAAUAAAAUUUUCGCUAGU